GAUGAAGAACGCAGCGAAAUGCGAUACUUGGUGUGAAUUGCAGAAUCCCGUGAACCAUCGAGUCUUUGAACGCAAGUUGCGCCCGAAGCCAUCAGGUUGAGGGCACGUCUGCCUGGGCGUCACAUAUCGUUGCCCAAUGCCUAUUGCAGUGCAAUAGGAAUUUCUAGGGCGAAUGAUGGCUUCCCGUGAGCGUUGUUGCCUCGCGGUUGGUUGAAAAUCGAGUCCUUGGUAGGGUGUGCCAUGGUAGAUGGUGGUCGAGUUAGAACGAUACCGAUCAUGUGCAUGCUCCCCAAAAUAUGGCCUCUAUGACCCACACGCGUCUUUUGACGCUCAUGACGAGACCUCAGGUCAGGCGGGGCUACCCGCUGAAUUAAAGCAUAUCAAUAAGCGGAGGA
rnacentral:misc_RNA from 1 species